rnacentral:tRNA from 1 species
UGGCCCCGUAGCUCAGCAGGAUAGAGCAACGGAUUCCUAAUCCGUAGGUCGCGCGUUCGAAUCGCGCCGGGGUCACCAU